rnacentral:tRNA from 1 species
GCCCGACUAGCUCAGUCGGUAGAGCAUGAGACCCUAAAUCUCAAUUUCGUGGGUUCGAACCCCUCGUUGGGCG